rnacentral:rRNA from 1 species
CCAGCAGCCGCGGUAAUACGGAGACUGCAAGCGUUGUUCGGAUUCAUUGGGCGUAAAGGGCGCGUAGGUGGCGUGGUAAGUCGGGUGUGAAAUUUCGGAGCUUAACUCCGAAACUGCAUUCGAUACUGCUGUGCUUGAGGACUGGAGAGGAGACUGGAAUUUACGGUGUAGCAGUGAAAUGCGUAGAGAUCGUAAGGAAGACCAGUGGCGAAGGCGGGUCUCUGGACAGUUCCUGACACUGAGGCACGAAAGCUAGGGGAGCAAACAGGAUUAGAUACCCUGGUAAAGGG